CUAUUCAUUUGGCAGAGAAGAUACCAUCUUCAUGAAGGUGGUUUUGCCUUGAAGAGUCUCCUCUGUUUCUCUCCAGAAGUGCUGACCUCUGCAAUUUUCCCAAAUGUGGGAAACUUGACUGCAGUACUUGGCAGGGGGGGGGGACUGUGUUUGUACUUUCUCUUG
ensembl:snRNA U1 U1 spliceosomal RNA